AGCCAGCAGCCGCGGUAAUACGGAGGAUGCAAGCGUUAUCCGGAAUGAUUGGGCGUAAAGGGUCCGCAGGUGGCUGUGUAAGUCUGCUGUUAAAGAGUCUAGCUCAACUAGAUAAAAGCAGUGGAAACUACACAGCUUGAGUGCGUUCGGGGCAGAGGGAAUUCCUGGUGUAGCGGUGAAAUGCGUAGAUAUCAGGAAGAACACCGGUGGCGAAAGCGCUCUGCUAGGCCGCAACUGACACUGAGGGACGAAAGCUAGGGGAGCGAAUGGGAUUAGAUACCCCAGUAGUCCUAGCCGUAAACGAUGGAUACUAGGCGUGGCUUGUAUCGACCCGAGCCGUGCCGUAGCUAACGCGUUAAGUAUCCCGCCUGGGGAGUACGCACGCAAGUGUGAAACUCAAAGGAAUUGACGGGGGCCCGCACA
rnacentral:rRNA from 1 species